UGGGAGAUCAUCUAAUGGUAGGAUUUCAGACUCUGAAUCUGAAUAUCUUGGUUCGAAUCCAAGUCUCCCAA
rnacentral:tRNA from 1 species